CAGGGACCAAGGUCAAAGAGGGAAAGGAUAAAGAAGGACUGCCGGAUGAAGAAGGAAAGCAAGCAAAAUAAAAAAAUAAAACAUUUUAAAAAAGGAAAAAGUUAUAGUGAGAGAACAAAACAGAGAGAUGAAGAGAGAAGCUAGAUAGAGACGAUCAGAUUGGGAGAUGACGAGAAGAAAGGGAGAAUGAUGAAGCAAGAGAGCAGGUGUGAAGCUGUGAAAGAUGGCUGCAUUAUCUCACCUCCACAGGAAGAAACCAAGUGUCCAGGGAGAAAGAAGUGAGAAGAAUCAGACAAGUGGGGUUUUCGGUCCGUGCUCGUCUACUUGCUAAAAACAGCCUUUGAACCGCAGCGGUGAUCUUACAUGUGUAUAAAAAUCUUUAUUGUUUUCACACAACAACGUUUUUAUACAGUAUCUGCUUCCAAAACACACGCACGGGAUCAGGUAACAGUCCGACGUUCUAAGAAAAUGAAGAAAUCAAAAAGAAACAUGCCACAACCAUGCACAACACACACAUACCCAGGACCCACAGCUUUGUACGUCCAGAUCACGCCGUCUCAGCACCUUAUUAGGUCACUUAUUACGCCACCUUAGUAGGUCUAAAAACGGAGCAGUGUAAAAGAUUUAAGUCGAACUGGCUACUGAAGUAAAGUAGCACCAGAACAGUGAAACAUAAACAUAGAACUAUAUUUAGAUUUUAUAAACACCAGGGCUAAUGCUGCCGUCAAAUUCUCUUCAGAAACGUGUGCGUGCGAGUUCAGGGGUCAGGAUUACGACGUGGUGCGUGUUCAAGUGGUUUUGGUCGGAAAGAAAAUUUACGAUGCGUGGAAUUGUUUGUUUGUAUCAUCAGUGACGAGAAGUCAAAAGAACCACCUGCUGUAGGGGUCACAUUAAAUUAUAUUGGUGGGGGCCAUUACUUUUUUUUUUUUUUUUUAAAGUAACUUGCCACACCCACGAUUCAGAAAGCUCAUACAAUAAUUUCCCGAGUUGCGAUUAUGACAUUGUGUUGGUCAUCUGGUAAUCAUGAUACUUCUGACAGGACUUGAGGGCAGGAUGUGACAGGAAGUUGCCCGGGUGUAAAAAGUUCUUCGGGGCCACAAAGAAACUUUUCAGCACUGUUUAUAGUAGAAAUCAUCUACAAAAGGUUUUCUAAAACUGCCACUCGUCAAUUUUUUAUUUAUUAAUUUUUUUACAUGGCCCUAAAAUGGCAAUUAACCUGAAACGGUGUGGUGGUGUUUUUUGUCCCGAUAGUGUUGCCCUACUUGUGUGUGGUUUCCUGAGCUGAAGCCUUUCUUGCAACAUGUUCAUGUCACAUAAUUACAAUAAUCGAAGUUUCUGACUUGUACAAACUCCGAACAGAAUCUCAAAAUCGUCACCUGAUGAUUAAUAUACACAGCAAUGGUUAACGCUGAAAUCUUUGCAAUCCAUUUAAUAAGGAGCUUUUGUUUGAAUGAUGGCUACAACAAUCCGAAUUCCACAAUCUGUUAGGAUAAAAUAAGAAGAAAAACAUGAAGGCGUCUUCAGAUGUAAAGAUGUAAAGACUGGACCUGAGGAUAAUAACAUCAUCUGCACAGUGUACGUCUGCUUCUAUAUUUAGUCUUAUUUAACGUCGAUGUUGUUAUACUUGCUAAUUCUGGUCGACUUGCUGUCUGUAUCAGGCGUGUGGAUUAUCUGCUAAUUGAGGAAAGCAAGUUUCAAUACUGUGUCACAGGGAAGUGUUUUUAUUUGGGUCAUUUCACCUCAAAAAGGUCAAAUUGCAAUGAACUUCCCUUUACCACCUGGGUCUAUGGACAUCGACAGACAAAAAAAAAAAAAAAAGAAAAAGAAGAUCUUUUCCUGAAAAGAUCACGGUAUAACGAUGUAUAUAUAUAUAGUGGUGUAACCGAUGAUCAGCGCACGUACAAGUACUGUAAGUCUUUGGUUUUGUAAUAUACCAUAUGUACCAUUAUUAUUAGACAGGAAGUCAUUUUAUCAGAUAAAUCCUGAUUGUCUUUGGCAGCUGGAAUGAAGCAGGAAAGUAAAACAUAUUGAAAUCCUCACACACACCCAUACACAACACACACACACACACACACACACACACACACACACACUGAAAACAUUCACCUGAUUAUAAAAAUACUUCUGUAUUCAUCUUCAAAAGGUCUAAAAAUGUACAGCAUCAUAAUUCGGAUAAGGUCAUGCUUCAACUUGAUCGCAGUUUGCUAAUUAUAAUCAGUGUAAAUAGCAACAACUAUGAUAAUAUAGGUUAUAAAGAUAAUAUUGUUUAAUACACAACCACAACAUUUACAUGGAAGGAAGUGACACAUAUGGCCUGCAUCCUGAACACACACACACACACACACACACAACCUGACUGAGAUCUGAUCAGCCCGAGCAUGGAGCGUCACUGCCAGAAAAAAGGAUUUAAACAACAAUAUUUUAGCGUGUUUUCUGACUCGAGACAUGUUUAUUGUUAAACGUUUACUGACUCGAGACAUGUUUAUUGUUAAACGUUUACUGACUCGAGACAUGUUUAUUGUUAAACGUUUACUGACUCGAGACAUGUUUAUUGUUAAACGUUUACUGACUCGAGAAAUGUUUAUUAAAUGUUUACUGACUCGAGAAAUGUUUAUUGUUAAACGUUUACUGACUCGAGAAAUGUUUAUUAAAUGUUUAGUGUUUAAUGUUGAGAAAUUCUUUUAUAUUAUUGGAACAAUCUAGAUCUAAUCUACUUUGGCACUGUCUUCGAGUCGCAUUAGGAUCUUAGAGCAAGCAGUUAAAAUCCAAACAGAUUUAGCUCUCUGUAUUUAACUGCUACUGUGUAUCAUUUUGUUUGGGUUUUGGCAGGCCACCUUCUUCCCGAGAAACCAACGAGCGCCGCCAUGAUGGAUUCUAUCUGUUCGUCCUGUUGUCUAUAGGAACCCUUAUUAAAACUGGCUAGAGAGAGCGACUGAAUUAAUUAAAACUGAAACUUUUUGACCGGCAAUGUAAGAGUGUUACAUUUUCAAAUGACGGUAGUCAGAAUUAUGUAUAUAAUAAUACAACAAUACUCUAAUACAUUACUAAAAGUUCUUUUUAGAGAGAGAGAGAGAGAGAGAGAGAGAGAGAGAGAGAGAUGCAGGCCCAUGUGCACUCAUUCCAUGAAAGUGUCAGUGGUGUAACAGUAGAGAAAGGGGAGGGGGAUGUGUGAUGGAGGCAGAGCUGGUCUUGAUUUGCGCUUUAAACCCAGGGGAAGAGUUGGUGACCUGAGAGAGAGAGAGAGAGAGAGAGAGAGAGUGAGACAGAGAGAGAGACCACAAGUCAUUACAUACUAUACAAUCACACUUGCUCCUUUCUUCCUCUUCUAUUCUCCUUUGUUGCUUUCUCCCUCGCUCAUGCUCUCAUGUUGUCUUUCCCUCUCUUUCACCAUUUCUUUUCUUUCUUUGACAUUUUUCCUCUCUCUCUCUCUCUCUCUCUCUCUCUCUCU
ensembl:lncRNA